rnacentral:lncRNA from 1 species
AUGCGGAGAGGGAAAGGAAGGGAAGAAGAGAGUGAGAGAGUCCGACCCACCGGGUUAGUACUAGGGAGACCGGGAUCUGAGCGGCAGCUCCCUUGGGUGGGUACCCAUAAGCACUCAAAGAGGGAAGCCAGAGAACGGAGUCUGCCAAGGCGAAGUGAUUCCGGAGUUGAGACAGGGGUUUGUUCGCUGUGCACCUGGAACCUUCAGGUAGAGGCAUGCGCAGGGGGCUGGGCGCUUCUUCCCCGCUUCCUAAACGCAGGCGGUCGCCCAAUUCCCAGAAGCGGAAGUCUCUGCGCUCCGGUCAGUAGCCACAGCGACCUCGCGCACUUUUUAGUAACAACGGACAUAGCUAAAGAAGACGAGAAGAGAAAAAUCUAGUUUGAAGAGAGUAUAUGUACCAAUCCAUCUCACCCAUUAAGUAUUGAUAAUUUUACAUUACAAUUUUAAAACAAUAAGGAAUUAUUGCUCCAGUACCAGCCAGUCUGAAACAGAAGUAAGUCUUGACAAAUAGAAUGUCUUGACAAAUUGGAGAUUAAAUUCUUAAAAUAUGCACCCAAAUGAGGCUGAGACUGGGUGUGUUUUCAUAUUGUUCUACAACCAAACACAGUUAACUCACUGGGGUGGUGGCUUAACUUACUCUGACUCUUCUUGAUAAACAUGUGCACUGUAUAUAACAUUUGCACAGAUUCUUAGCAAGUUUCAUGGAAAAUGAUUAUUUGUAAAAUAAAGAACUUAAUUUACAUCUCAGUGUUGAUGUUGCGGAAAGCAGAAUCAUUCAAUGAAAAAGGUCCGAACACCUUGAUCAUAUAUUUGUUUCACCCUUUAACAUUAGUGUGACCUCGGCAAAGUCACCUCAUUCAUCUGACCUCCAGGUACCUCAUCUCUAAAAUAUGGCUGAUGCUAGUUCUUGAUUGACCUACAGAAUAAGGCUGUGAGGCUCAAAUGAAAUUAUGAAUGUGUUCAAAUGCCCUAUAAAGCUCAUUUUCUGUUAAUACUUUAAUAUUAACUCCAUAAAAAUUUUAUAGUUUUAUAUUAUCUGUUUGCAGAUGCGUGUAUGUGUGCUAAGUUGCUUCAGUUGUGUCUGACUCUUUGCAACCCAGUGGACUGUAGCCUGCCAGGCUCCUUUGUCCAUGGGAUUCUCCAGGCGAGAAUACUGGAGUGGGUUGCCAUACCCUCCUCCAGGGGAUCUUCCUGAGCCGGGGAUUGAACCCACAUCUCUUGCAUCUCCUACAUUGGCAGGUGGGUUCUUUACUACUUGUGCUACCUGGGAAGCCCGUUUACAUAUACAUGGUCACAGAUACUUUGAAUGUAAAGUACUAAAAGGAUCAGUGCCAGAGUAUCUGUAUGCUUUAUCUUCAAGAGGUAAUAACCUGCCUGUUUAAAAU